GUUGCACAAGCCACUCUUCACUGAGCAUGGCUCUGUAAACUUUCCAAAUACGAAUCCACCAACAGAUGAAGACAACAACGCUUACUGCGAGCUUGUACACUUUACACGAAGUUACAAUGCGACGCCAUCUGUCCAAAUAUCAGCCAAUCACAGCACAACAGCGAGUGGAAACUUGGCACCAGCUCAUAAUGGCAUUUCUACUUGGAUUGAGAAUAUGAAUGUGUCUGGAUU